GGGGUGUCGUGCGCCGGUGGCACCACCAUGUCCUAUGUCCCCUUCCGAGAUGUGCGUGGAGCCCCCCUGGCCCGCGGGCCCUACGCCCCCUCCCCUUACGAGCGGCCCCCUGGAACCCCCGGUUCUGCAUCAUCUCCGGCAAUCAGCUGCUGAUGCUCGAUGAGGAGGAGAUUCAUCCCCUGCUCAUCCGGGACCGGCGGAGCGAACCGUGCCGGAGCAAACUGCUGCGGCGAACCGUCAGCGUGCCGGUGGAGGGACGCCCCCACCCCGAGCACGGUAAAUUCCCUUUAUUUCUGCCUCUAGAAACCCUUAAAAAAUCAUAAAAAUAUAAAGGGUUAUUUUUUACCCCUCCUCGCCGCGGUUUGGGUGGGAAAAGUGGGGAAAAAUGAGGUGAAAAUUCGGAUUUUUGGGGGUUUUUUCCCCUUAAAAUCCUUAAAAAAAAUGAAGAUUCCCAACCCCCACCGUGUGGGAAGCCAUGGCGACAUCCCAUAAUGCUCCCCGGGGGGGAGGGGGAGGCGCUGGGGUUGCCGUGGGGA